rnacentral:lncRNA from 1 species
CCCACUUGACAACAAGUAUUACAAUAAGCAGGCCUCCAGUCAUAGACUACUUGCUGAUCAAAGCACUUUCCAUCAGGAUCCAUAACCUUGAUUACUAUUGGAAAAGGCCUUGUAAUGUCCAUUUCUAUUAACACCCUAGCAUAAAAAAUCUUUUCCAUCGUUGUUGUACAUUCAUCUGCAUAUAGGGGAUUUUCAAACCACUACUUAUCCUAUUUAGGAAAUCCAUAAAUCAAUAAAUUAGAGGCAAGUUCGAGAAUUUUGCCCAAAAGGUAUGGUCUUCAGAACCUCUUUUGCAAACUCAAAAUUAGAGGUCCAUGCCUUGAUAAUAAUAAUAGGUCUAUUAUUCAUCAUUUGAGGGCCAAGAUACAGCAUUUUGUUUCUAUCUGCUAAAUUCAUAAACUUAACUACAAAAUACCCUUCGUUGUGAUAGUAGAUUUUAGGUUUCUCCACCAUGUUCCAUCUAUUAGAAAUGAGGCGUUCAAGUCUUGCAAUGGUUGGAUAAGAACCAACCACAUACAAUACAAUCACAUUCAUUCAUAGUUCACUCGCCUUAUCAAUUUCAGGUUUAGAUAGAGUAGUUACUUUUUUGAAUUCUGGAUAGAAGGUACAAUAAAAGUAAGUCCCUAUGCCCUGUUCAACCAUCUUGUUUCCUUUAGUGAUAUUCGCCCAUGUACCACCCUCUGUCUGAUCUUCAGUUGUAGUAGAUCCAGUCGGUAUAGCUCCUUCAACACACAUUAUUUCUCCAAAUUUCAUCAGAUCUCAUAUCCGACGACUUUGAGCCCUCAGCACCAAUUACUGUUUCAUUGCUUAUGUCUUGCACCACUUCAGUAGAAGGAUUAGUGUCACCAUUUUUUAGAGUUGAUGCGCUCCCCUAAGCUUUCCCAACACUUGUACUACCCAAGCUACUUGAGAGUGGGGGAUAAAUCCUCGGAACCUUCUCUGCAGGCAAUUAUGAAGGAGUUCCCCCUGUUAUCAGCAUCUGGUAUCUUCAAAAGUGUUUUCCCUCUUUCAAUUAUAGUUAUUUUCGAUCGCAUGCCUCUGUUACCGUCUUCUUCGCGCUUUCCCUCGCCAUUUGAGGAGUAGUUUAGUAAUACACUAAUGUGCACCUAAGGGGAAGGAGAGAGAAAAAUCUUAAAGUUGCACAAAUUUUUAAGAACAGGUGAAGAAGAACAUAAAUUAUUGUUUGGAAGAUAGAUAAAGCCUUUCUUGUUUGAUUCUUCCUAACUAGCGAUGGAACGAGGAAGCUCAUUAGGUGUUACUGCAUUUUAGAUUUGAGUCACACUCAGCUAAACUAAAAUUUAAGUCACAAAAGCUAGGAGUUAUGAACAAAUGUUGCAUUAGAGAUUCAAUAGUUUUUCUUACAAAAAACUUAAAAUUAAUUAGCAGUCAAAUUUGGUUUAGAUGUGAAGCUUGCAGCUGCUAUGCAAGCCGGUAAAAUUGUAUUGAAAAAAUAAAAUGG